UGAAAUUAAAUUAAAUUAAUUUAAGUAUUAAAUGUUUAAAUCAUUAAAUAUAAUAAAUUUGGCGGUAUUUAAUUUAAAUUAGAGGAAUAUGUAAAGUUAAAUUGAUAAUCCACGAUAAGAUAAACUUUAAAUUAUUUUUAAUUAUUGUUGUUUAAAUUAAAUUUUAUAAGAAAUUUAUAAUAAAUAUUUUUAAAAAAAAAUAGUAAUUCAAAUCAAUGUUUAGAAUUUUAAAGACUUUAUGUAUUACAUUUAUUUUAAAUAAUAGAUUAAUAAUUUUAAUAUUAUUAUAAAAUUGGAUUUAAAAGUAAAAUUAAUUAAUUAAUUAAUUUGAAAAUUAUUUUUAAAUAUGU
rnacentral:rRNA from 1 species